rnacentral:rRNA from 1 species
GUGGGGAAUAUUGCACAAUGGGCGAAAGCCUGAUGCAGCGACGCCGCGUGGGGGAUGAAGGCCUUCGGGUUGUAAACUCCUUUCGCUAGGGACGAAGAGAAAUUGACGGUACCUGGAGAAGAAGCACCGGCUAACUACGUGCCAGCAGCCGCGGUAAUACGUAGGGUGCGAGCGUUGUCCGGAAUUACUGGGCGUAAAGAGCUCGUAGGUGGUUUGUCGCGUCGUCUGUGAAAUCCCGGGGCUUAACUCCGGGCGUGCAGGCGAUACGGGCAUAACUUGAGUGCUGUAGGGGAGACUGGAAUUCCUGGUGUAGCGGUGAAAUGCGCAGAUAUCAGGAGGAACACCAAUGGCGAAGGCAGGUCUCUGGGCAGUAACUGACGCUGAGGAGCGAAAGCAUGGGUAGCGAACAGGAUUAGAAACCCCUGUAGUCC